ACCGGUUUUGACUAAAAAUCGGUUUCGUAGCCUAAAAAACCGGUUUCGUAGAUAUAACCGGUUUCUUUUAUAAAAAAAAAGCGCUAAUAGAAACCGGUAUUUUAUUACCGGUUUCUUUGUUGUGGUGUCGUAGUUAUAUUACGAAACCGAUUUUACUUAAACUCUAUCAAACCGGUUAAAAACCGAUUUUAUAGCCUAUUUUCAAUUUAUUUUACUGUAAGAUAUUAAAAAUAAAAAAAGGUAAAGUUAUGAAUUAGAUUUCAGCCCUAGAGCCAACCUAUCAUUCCCAGCCACCUCCAUCUUCUUUCCAAUCCUCUCCCCGACCUCCCUGCGCCACCCUACUCCGGGCGACUCAACAACUUCCCUAUGCCGCCUCCAUAUCUUUUCCCCCGCCAUUUUAUCGGCCGACGCAACAUCUCGUGCCUCUCUCAUGUGGUGUUGCUUCUCAAUGUUUCAGCCCCUAACUCUCGAACCCUAGGUGGUCGCCGCUGCUCCUAUCACCUUCGGUCACCCCAUGGCGCCUCGGAGCCGCUCCGCCGUUGACUCCAUCGCUCCGCCACCUGACUCUCAGUGAGAUCCACCCAGCCAUUUUACUCGAUUGAGAAGCCCGAGGCGCGAGCUCUCCUUUCUCCAAGCCGGCUCAAGUCUGCGAUUUCUCUACGAUUUCAAUCCGAGGUACUGGUUUUUGGUGUCUUCACCAACGUAUCUCUGUCUCUCUCUCUUGUUCUUUUCUGUCUAUUGUUCUUAGUCGAGGGAGGUAAAUUUUUCAUUCUCUAUGACUAGUUAGUGUUCCCUAAUUAGAAUGGAUGAACUCGUGAACUACGUGGGAAGACGAAUCCAUUACAAUUACUACAAGGCAAUUAUAUUAUUAUGAACUAUGAGCAAAGUUACAGAUACGCAGAGCAUAUUAAAUUAUGUUUGUUUCUUGAACUAGUUGCAUUUGGAAUAUAGUGUGUGUGUGAGUGCAUUGCUUAUGAGAAACUAUUUACCACUGCUCUUUAUCUUAACUCAGGUGAAGCUGCAGAAACUAGGUGUUGUCGCGUCGAUCAUUAGGGAGGAUUACUCGAGGAGGUGGUUUUAGGGUAUACUUGUUGUGAUGCUUGUGGAAGAUUGUUUGUUAAGGAAAACUAUUGCCCUCUCUGUAUAAAGGUAAUACGACAAUGCUAGCUUGAAUGCAGAAGGGAGAAAUGCCAUAUGUAGUUGAAAAAGUUGGUAUUCGAAGAACAUUGCAUCUUUAGAAUUUGUUUUUGAAACUUUUUAUUAGAUUUUGUAAAAUUGUUAGGUUCACAUUUGAGAUUUUGUGCAAGACAUUUUAAAAUUGUAAUGAAUAUUGAUGAUAAUUGAUUAUAUGAAAUUUAUAUUCUCUGUUUA